GAAUUUGACCACACAUCGACGCUAGUACGGUCAAUUUCCUGCAAACCCAAAUUCCCAUUCCACCCUCCAACAAAAACCCAAUUCCCCGGCAUCAGCCCUGCACCGAAACCCUUCAAAACCCACCUCACAAUUUCACGAGCUUUCCCAAAAUGCCCCUCCUAAAACCCUCUCCUGACGCUUCCAUUCGCAAAUCAGAAUCCCCAUAAAACACCCAAAACCCUACACCAAAACCCAUGUCACAAUUUCGCAAGCCUUUUCCAAAUUGUCCCUACCCUGUCGCUAGCGCAAAACAAAAGAAAAAGACGCCAUUGAAGAAGCACCGAUGACAUCCUCUCCUCCUUUGCUCCCAUGGAAUCCGCCUUCGAUCCCGCCGACAAGAAGCUCGGCCUUGCCUGCCUCAAGGUGGGCCAGCACCUCGACUCCGAAGCAGUGAGAGAUCGACGCUUGGGAAAGCUAUGGGCGGAAUGCGAAAGAUGAGUUCAUGGAUGCUCAUUGACUUCUUGAACAAUUGAAGAAAAAGGCUUGGGGUUCAUUGAGCGAGGUUCCUAGAAAGGCUUUGCGAUUGCCCUACGCCAGUGAAGCGUUUUCCACCAAAGCCACACAUCCCCAUUUUGAGAUCUGUCUCUGGAAUCCUUUUCAUAUGCUCUUUUGCUAUUUAGUUCAUUGUUGUUCCUUCUUCUCAUUUUGCUGUCUUGAGGAGUUUCUGGGGAUUGAAUAGGCUGCUGGAUUGUAUCAGUGGAUCGGUGGUGGGUUUUUGUUCGGGAGAAGUUCUGAAGGGGUUCAACCGCAUGAUGUACCCAAUUUGCAAAGGGGAUUUUUCUUGGGAUUUGCUGUAGAUCCCCUACUGAUUGGAUGGUGAUUAUGGCCUAGAGAUCAGGAGUUCAAUAGUGUGUUUUAUUUUGUUUGAAGCAAAAGGCACGGGUUUUUGUGGUCUAAGGCGGCAAUUUUUUUCUUUGUAAAGGAUGGGCCCUAUUUCUGUUUCUGUAUCCUCAGGAAGAAUUUAUUGGCCUGCCGAGUGCAGUGGUCUAGCACGCAUGUUGGUGCUCCUUAGUUUGUAGGCACAGGGACUAACGCAAAUAGGGGUGGGUGUUGCUGAAUGGUCUGCCGGAUGGUCUUCCCAAAUGGGGCCGUGGUGGUGCCUCCUACUCAAGGAGUUGUGGAUGGUGCUGCCCAUCUGGGUCAUUGGCCUUCUUUACGAAGGGGACUUGGUUUUCUUUGGAUCUGCAUUGCUCGAGGUCUAUUUUGUGGCUCAGAGGAAUCCUGGGUUGUCUUUGGUUUUGGCAUAAGAAGUCUGCAGAGAUGAUGUUCUCUCCUUGGUUUUUGCUAGAGCUCUCGAUGCUCGUGCCGUGUUGGAGGCGUGUAUUUUUUUAACCAGCUUUGAAAGGUGACAUUGGCUACCGGAUUAGUGUAAUGCUUUUGUGGGUUGUGGCUGGUCGUCGGUGGGCUUCGAGAAGUGGCUGAGGUCUAUUGUGGGUGGCACUAGAGCUUUUUGUCGCCGCAUGCAUCCAAAGUUCCCAACGGUUUUAGGGAUGAGGCUGUUGUGGUUCAGGUUUAGAUUUGUGGUUUUCUAGGCCUGGCCUGGCUUUCUCUUGUUUUGCUUUAUAGAGUUGUGGAUGAAUAUGUUAGGUGGGGGCCGUUGAUUUUUGUGACUCCCACCCGAAAAACCAUAUCCCAGAUUUUCCAUCUAACAAAGUUACAGGUGGUGAGCUCCCACCUUUAUAUA